GGGACUGAAAGGGAACGAUGGCCGGAGAAGAACGAGGAGAAAAAAGCAUCGGGUGAGAGCCUGAAGUUCACAGCUUUGCAGGAGCCGCACCGCUCCUACAUUUGAUUAGAGUUACGCAAUAUUGAUAGCGCUACCAAAACAUCGACUGUCUGGCACGACCGGCUCCGCAUGCAAAUUCUGGGCUAAGAAAUGGGAUGUCCUGAUAAUUCAGUGCGCACCGAUCAUCUCACUUUCUUAGAGAAAAUGUCACCAGUCCAGACGUAAACAGUUGCCAGGAAACUGCGUGGUAGAAGGAGAAAACGAGAGGGAGAAGGAGAGAGAGAGGGAGGGAGAGAGAGAGAAACCUUUUAAAAUAACAGGCACGCAUUGUCCCUUCAAAGCCCGCAGUAACUUAAAAGUGAUUCGUCGUCUGCCUUUACUCUCUGCUCCUUCCCCAGCAACCACCACCAUUCUGUGUACACGACUUGACAUAUCUUUUCCAGACCCCACCGAAAUGACCACUGGAAGCAAUAAAUAAAUAAAAGCCCCUCUGCCUUUUAUGAUUAGCUCAAAUCCCACCUCGCCUGCGCCUCGCACGUCAUUACUGGAGCUCAUUUCACAAGAUCUCCGCUUGUGCUCCUGCUCUGCAAACAACCAGCUAUCUUUCGUCUUCCAUGUGUGUAUACAGAUAGAUAGAUGCGAGCUUUUGUGUGUGUAUACGUAUAUGUGUAUGUAUUUAUGAUAAAUCUCUGCACACAUGGCAAGGAACAGACACACAGUUGCAUGCACACAGCCGUCACGCAUCGGAGUAGGCACAGCUCAACAUAUGGACAUACGGGGUGCAAGUAGAUCUCAUUGUAGGUGAUCUAUUUACAUACAUACAUACAUCCCAUAUAUUUACGUUCAGACGCUUUCAGGCUACGCACGGAGCUAGAAGCACCCCCCGCAUCCCCCAAGCAGAACACAAGGCCUCGGGGGUGCAAAACGCCAUAGGAAACCCCUAGUAGCUCGGAGCCGGGCCUUGCCGUGGGGCACAGAGGACGGGAUCCGGGCUGUCCCCUCCUCACUCCCACCCCUCCGCCCCCCACCUCCUCGCCCCCCGCCCCACAGGGCACUGCGGGAGCCCCCGGGGAGCGCCGGCCGCCGCCGCCGACGGUAGAUGGCAGCAGACGGCGGGGAAUGGGCGAGCCCCGCGGCGCGGCGGCGGCACCGGGGGGACGGCACGGCGGGGAGCUGCCUCCCUUCUCCUCCACCGCGUUUUAUUUCCAUCGAUGAAAGCGCAGGGAGGCUGCCAAAGAAGGGAACGGCGGGGACCCCCCACCCAGGGGCACGCGUGGGCCGAGGGUUAAAUCUCGCUGCCCGCCCCGAGGUGAGAGAUCCCACAAGUGGUUGCCCACGGAGGGUGUGGAAGGAUCGGCAUAAAAGGGAUUUGGAGGAAGGUUAAUAAAUUGUUCGUAUUAUUAUUAUUUAUUGCGUUGAGGAGAUUUAAAAAGAGCAAGAAAACGAGUGCGGAGAGACCUAGAUCUAAGGGAUAACAGGCAGUGAACUAGCAUUAGCUUCCCCCCAUCGUGAUUUAUGAAAAAAAUGUAACAGGUUUGGGAAUAAAUAGCUGUUAAAGAUUGUCUUUCUGUUGAUUAUUUCCACGGCUUGCAAUCAUUUACUCUUAUCCACGCGAUAUUCCGGCACAGUCAAGUUAGAGAAGAUAAAUCGUCACGUCAUAAAACGGUUUAUGCUUAAGUAAUGAAUCUCAUCUUAAUCUCGUUGCACACACACAGGCUCCUACAGCAUCUUAUUUAAAAAGCGCCUUGUAACAGAGUCAAUUAGUACUACAUUCAACCACCCGAAAGCUGGAAAAAAUGAAAAUCACAUUCAAAAUGACGCGCAUCUCCGGACAAUUAUUACCCUUAAGGCAACGUUAGGGAAUCAGACAGCACGGAGGGGGAACAGCGGGGGGAUUUGCACAAAACCUGGCCGCAAGCUGUGGGAAAGGACCAACACAACGUGAGGCUGAAACCCUACCCGGUAUUCCGGCAUGGAAAGCCAUAAAGACCCGUUAACACUGCAAAACGCAAUUAAAUACGAGGAGGUUUAUUGCGCUGCAACGUCAGCUUCAUUUGGGAGUUUCACGAGGGGGAAAAAAAAAGGAAAGAAAAGAAACCACAACACGACACAAUGAGUGCACAGCGUUUUGGGUUGGCUUCGUUCUUCUUCUUAUUAUUUUUUCUCUUUUCAUUUUUUUUCCCUCUCCAUUUUUUUAAACUAAUUUCCAGAACCGUAUUUUCGAGGACUACCGUGAAAUGCCCUCUUCGAAGAAACCACCCACAUCAUAAUGACCCUGGAGAGCAACGCAAAACCCAACUGGCUUCCACACAAACUUCGCCAAAUUACUGGGCUCGCCUGAAGACAGGCAAACUGGCACGAGAUUCUGCGAGGGGGAUAAAAUAAAACACCACAACUACCCACAAAGGGGCUGGUAAUUUUUUAAAGGCAGUAUCUAAAAGCCACAUCACCGAGCUACUGCAAAAUCCUUCAUUCCAAGCCUACCAUCGCCAGGUGACCUUACAGGCUUUAUCCUUCCUUCUUAUUCCACGUCUUUCUUUCCUUUUCCUUCUUUCUUACUCUAUUUCUUUCUCUCCUUUUCUUUCUUUCGCUCUUUCCUUCUUUCUUUUUUCCUCUCUCUCUUUCCUUCUUUCUUUCCUCCCUCCCUUUCUCCUUUCUUUCUUUCUUUCUUUCUUUCUUUCUUUCUUUCUUUCUUUCUUUCUUUCUUUCUUUCUUUCUUUCUUUCUUUCUUUCUUUCUUUCUUUCUUUCUUUCUUUCUUUCUUUCUCUUUCUUUCUUUCUUUCUUUCUUUCUUUCUUUCUUUCUUUCUUUCUUUCUUUCUUUCUUUCUUUCAGUCCUCUCUCUCUUUGUCUUUCCUUUUCUCAAUCUCUCUUCCUUUUUCUAUCACCCUUUCUUUCUUUUUUCCCUGUCUCCCUUAUUUCUUCCUCAUUCCCUUUUUCUCCCCUUUUCUCUUUUUUUCUCACCGUAUCCUACAAUCUUUCGGAUUAAUAUUCACUAAAACACAUUUCCACCAGCCGUGAUUUCUCCCUUUUUCAUCACUCCACCCUUUUCUGUCUAUUUCCCCCCCUUGGGUAGGGGAGGAGAGGGAGAUGGGGAAUGGAACAGAAAAAAAAGCAGCUUAACAAAUGCAUUUUCUCAAAGAAAAAUAAAUAAAUUAAGAGAAACAGGUAUUAUUUCCUUACCUUUUGACGUCCAUUUCUGUGGUAUAAGCAAAAUAUAUAGGGAGAGAGAGACAGCGUUUGCUUAUCUGUUAGCUGACAAAUAUUGUCCCAACCUGAUAGCCGUCGAUUGCCUCUCUGACUUGUGAUAGCUUCUUGCAUUUCUGUCAUUUGCAUAGAAAAUGGAGUAACUUCCCUCUUUGAAAAAUGAUAGCCACCACUCCGUCCAGAAUCUCCACUGUCCCUCCAUUACUACUGAGAUUCCAAAUCGGCAGGCAAAUUAACAGAGGAAUUAAAAAAAACAAAAAUAAAAAAAAAUUUAAAAAGGAAAAAAAAAAAAACCCUCUUUUUCUACGUGUGUAUGUGCGGAUGUGAGUGCCUAUGUGUGCGUGUGGAUGUGUGCAUAGGCGUCCCCCCUCCCCUCUCCCCUGGUUUAGACCUAUCGAGCCUAUACACAAAAGUAAAAAAAUGUAAAGAGGAGAGAGCCCUAUAGAGGACACUGAUCCGACCCAAGGUGCAGCGGACAGAAGAAUGGUGCAAUAUAACCACAUGGGAAAUAAUAAAAAGUUCAUGUUCACGGUUAGCAGUCCACAUGACCGGCUCUGGCCAAUCCCAGAACCCAGCCACUCAUAAAGUUCUAUCACAAAGUUGUAAAUUUUCAUAAAACAACAAGGAAUUUAUUGCAUUUCUUCAUGACCGGUUUAACAGCAGUCUUUUUCUUAGCCGCCAUCUUUUUUUUAAAACAAAAAUAAAAGAAUAUGAAAAGGGGUUCGGGGAUUUUUGCCCCCUUUGGUUCUAUGGAGGGGGGUGUUCGAGAGAAAUGAUCGAAUAAUUCCUCGUGUAAUAGGCUAUGAACAAUAAUGACUCCCCCGAAAUAAAGAGAUUGGGCUUGGGGUUGGCUUUUAAACGAGCAAAGACACUAAAACAGUGGGGUUCGGGGGAGACUUCGGAUAUCUCUUUAUAUUCCAAUGCAACGGGGAGCCCUUUUUUGCUGCAAAGGGCAAUUCGCAGAUUUCGGGGGUAACAAAAAGGGGAAUAAAGGCGGACAGCGGUGCUCGUGUCCUGAGCAGAACCGGGGCGCGGGGGGGGCGGAGGGGUGGGGGUCUAUGCUCAGGAGGUCCCCACGGCCGCUCACCCCCAGGAUCCGCUCAUCCCCCCCUAUAGCGCGGGGACUCCCAUAGGGACGGACGGGGUGCGCAGUUCGGGUCUCGGAGGUAUCGCCAUGGCACACGUUUCGCCUUUUCCAUGAGACCCUCCUCGAUCUCUCCUCGAUCCCUCCUCGAUCCCCUCUGCUUGCGGCACAGCUCCGUGCCAGGAGGGGCCGAUGCAGCAGAACGGGGGGGGGGGAGGGGGGGGGAAAUUUCUAGAACAGCUUUUAUUUAUCUAUUAUUAUUAUUAUUUUAAACCUCGCGAAGAGAAUCGCACCAAAGGAUUCACCAAGAAAAAAAAUGGAAGAUUUCUCUUUGUUUUCCCUUCCUUCGAGCGGAUUUUCCAGUGUUCAUAUGCCACCGUAAGUGGCACCUUUUACUAAUGGGCUUGCCGUAAUUAGCAGAUGCAGCCUGCGCUGCAAAUCGCUCUUAUGGAUGUGGGCGCGCGGCUCCUUGACGUGGCAUCAUCCCCUUUUUUUUCUCUGGGACCUUCUGCUGGAUGCCCCGCUCGCCUCCAUGGGGCCAUCCAUGGCGGUGGGUGGCGAAAAGGGAAGGAGGGGAGGAAGGCGGAAAGCUGCCAUUCCCCAACCAGAAGCUCUCUGCGCUUCCCCGGCCGCAUCCUGAGCGCGCAUUUGGCGAGCAAGUUACGCGGAGCCUCCGCUGGAGGAAUCCGCGUUGUGCCGCGCACUCUGGAUUCAACAAGGAGGAAACCCGGGUAAAAAUAUACACAGACAAAACAGCCUUGCAACGUGGAAAGAACCACAGAGGUUACAGGGAGAAGGCGUAAUAAUAAUUCCUAUUAUGUACAGGACUCUAUAUACGCUAAGUAUAAUUUGCAUUCAGAUUUUCAGGUCACAUCUUCUAAAUUAAAGGUGCUAAACACGACCACGUUACUUCAUACCAAAAAAGUACACAGCGAAGUACAAACGGAGAUUUACAAAUUACUUGGACUAUAGGGAGACUCACAUAGAAAAAAAAGGUGUCUAUUCUGACUCUAAAGCCACAUUUAAUAGGUAGAUAUUCAUUCUAUUGUACAAAAAAAAAAAAAAAAAAAAGACUUCAAUAUAGGUAGUAUUUUUUUUUCAGUGUCAGGAAACACAACGUAUCAUUCCUAAGUUUUUAAUUAUUUAUGCACUUAACGUUGAUUUUUUUACUAUAUAGUCUUUUCUGGGUGGUUUUUUCCCCUUUCUUUUUCCUAUUCCCGUGAGCUUUCACGUUUCCUGGAUCCACCUUUUGUCCUUUUCAUUCCUCCUCGUCGUCCUCCACGUCUGCCUUUUCCUGGCUGCUGGAGCCGGAGCAGGCAGUUUUAUUUUCUUUUUUCCACUUCAUGCGCCUGUUCUGGAACCAGAUUUUGAUCUGUCUCUCCGUGAGACACAGAGCAUGGGCGAUCUCAAUGCGUCUCCUCCUCGUCAGGUAGCGGUUGUAGUGGAACUCCUUCUCCAGCUCCAGGGUCUGAUACCUGGUGUAGGUUUGCCGGCCGCGUUUCCUAUCCGUGCCUGGGAAGGAAACAUAGAUUCGGAUCAGUUGGGUUUGGGGGGGGAGGUAUAUUUUUAUGCCCAGUAACACCCGUUCCUCUUCAUCUCCACAAAACAAAGCGCACAACCUGAUCCUACCUUUCUCCUCAUUCGCAAUACGAACUCUCUGCUCCAGGAGCUUUCUCUACCUCACCCUCCCUAUUCUCGGCCCCGAAACAUCGUGAGUUUCCUUGCCCUUCAUCUCGGAGAGGCGAGCGGUGAUUUUCCGCAUGCAGCCCCACUGUGUCUCAGAGCCGAGCGGGAUGGAGCUGCAAACUUCACCAAGUUUCCUGCUCUCCUAUCAGGGCGCUCAGCUCCUGCUUUAAUUUCUGCUUAAACACCACAAACUUCGGAUGGAGGAGGGAUAAAUACACACACACACGAAAAAAACCCCAGCGAGUGCUGCGCCUGCUACCUCCACAACCCCAACUAUUUGUCCUCUCCUAAAGCUGUCAUCGGGCUGCUUGCUUGGGAAGGUGUGUGAUGGUCUUAAUUAUUUCAGGGAAUGUUUUGGGCUCAGCGGUGGCUUCUGCUCGGCUGUGGCUGACGAGGGGGCUGCUACCCCCGGGUGUGCACAACAUGGGAAGAGCCUCAACUCUACCGCAGCCUCUGCGCCGCUAUUCCGCUGUUUGGAGAGGGUCUGUAAGGGGCCCGACCCGUAAUUCCACCGCCCCUCUCCAACCCGACGUUUCCUGAGUCCAAGUGGGAAUAAUGGCACAAUAUAACGCUUGUGAUCCCUCUCUAUUUUCUGUGUAAAUGCGAUGUCUAUCUACAGUAUAAUGUAUUCUUUCGUGGAGAAGUGGGGAUGGCGGACAGCAGCCCUCGGCCUCUCCUCCACACAUUCCACCAGACUCCUCUUUCCUCCUCCCCCCCCCCCCUUUUUUUUCCCUUUUUUUUUCUUUUUAAAGGAAGAAAAGGUCCAGUCAUUAAAAGGAGGGAGGAAAAAGAGCAAAAUAGCCGUGCUAGCUGUAAAGUACGAAUCUGCAGGUCGUGGAAUGUGGGUUGUAAAAUCUGCUGAGGGAGAGCCAUAAACUGCUGCUGAAUAGGGAUGACAACUCUAUCUCUGCUCGCUGAUGAAAUUCCACAACCACGAUCGCACAGUGGGCAUCAGGAGCUGGAGGAGGGAUCCCCGAGGUCGAGUUUCUCUGGUUUUAGGCACAGCAGAUCGCAGAGCAUCCAGUUCUGCUUGGAGGCAUCUCCCGGGCACAUCAUGGAGAGGUUUUGCUCAAAGGGGGAACAGUGCAUGUUGAAGGAGCCGGGCUCCAGGCCGUACCCCGAGGAGUACAUGCCGGGGGGUUGGGGGUGCACGGCGCUGCCGCUGGAGUACAGCCCGGGCAUGGAGGAGGCGAAGGGAGGCGUGGAGCCGGCCCCAUAGCCCGCUCGUUGGGUGUUGGAGGCGAAAGCGCAAGAAGUUUGCUCGGGAAAGACUCCGGAUGGGAAAACCGAACUUGCGGCUUGAUAUUUAGAAAAUAAAGCAUUCGCAUAAUACAAUGAACUC